UCUGGAGAAAUAAUGGCAAUAAAAAGCUGAAUUUCAUUGUCUCCAACAGUUAUUUGUAUUUUGCCUGAUGACAAAAAUCUCCUGAAGGGAGCCACUGCUGUGACCCCAGU
ensembl:snoRNA small nucleolar RNA SNORD89